rnacentral:lncRNA from 1 species
CUUUUUAGGUUGGAUGGGGUCUGGACUCUCCAAGUUCUUGGACUUCGCUUGCUGGGCCUUGGCGGUGCUCACUACAGCUGCCCGUAUAUCACCGGCGGAGGUGGACUUUGGUUUAUGGAAUGACAGUGCGGAGUUGGGAAAAUUCAAGUUGGCAUUAAUGCCUUUUAAGGCUAGCAACGGUACAUCAAAUGCGGCAGCCGCCAUUUCAGGUGUCGUACGUGCCGAGCCACAUUCGAGUACGUAGUUUUGCGCGGCUCUGAAUCUCUGGUACCCAUUUAUUACCUCGGCACCAGAUUCCUCCAUAAACAGGGUGCUUCCCGACGAUUUGACCGGAAAAGGCAGAGGAAGAGGGAAGAUUUUUCGAGGAGGAUGAGCAGAUGUGGGAGGUGAAGAGAGGUCUUGUCCGCACAAAAGAGAGAGAAGCCUCAAGUACUUCAAUUUUUGGAGUAGGAGGUGGUUGGUCACUUUGGCGCGCAAGUGAAUGCAAUUCAAAAAGAGAGAGAUGCAAAAAUUUGGGUAGAGAGGAUUGGAAUUGCAAUUCUUGGAGUUAUUUGCAUUGAGUGUGUCAAUUGAAGAAGUAAUAAAGAAUGAAAAAGAAUGUUAAUGAUGUUUUAAAUACAAAGGAAGGAAAUAAAAAUCGACUUUUAAGUCAAUUGAUUUUGAAAAUGAUAAAGUUUUUACGAUAUUAAUAGAUUUUCUUUUUUAACUUUAAAUAAUUUCCAUCAUAAUUAUUGAUAAAUAUAAUUUAAUGAUGAUGGUUGGAUUUAUGGGAACAACUAUCUAAAAUUGAAUAUAGGUGAGUUAUAAAUUAUGAUCCAACAAACUUACCUAAAGAUUGCAACUUGACCAACCCUACCUUAUUUAUGAACUCCUUAAUGGAUAGGUUGAACAGUUGGGUGGCGUAAAAGUUUGCAAAUUAACUUAGACAUUCUCCUAGGCAAAAAUCAUACUCAAUCUGAAUUUUUUUUUUUGAGAUUUAAGAACAUUUUCUAAAUCAUAUUUAUCAAAAUCAUUACUUAUCUUGAAUCUCAAGGUCCAUGACUCAACCCCACUAUUCUUUUUUUUUUUUUCACUAAAAUUAUUUUCAUCUUCUUUUGAAUCUCAAAACAUAUGAGAACAAGAAAAUUAAGAAAAAUAAAACUAAAUUGAGUACGCCUUCGCUAUUUUUCUUAUUUUACCAUUGUCAGUUCAAAUCUUAGUAGAGUUUUGUUAUUUUAAACCUAAUCCCAUCAAUAUAAUUAGCACCACCAAUAUAAUUAGCACUAAUAUAUCUAAGAACAUCUAUUAUAGGGAAAAGUGUAUUUCCAUGUGUUCAUAUGAAAAAAAUCAUAAAAUAGAAACUCAAAUUUAUAAAAUACAAAUUUUAAGUAAUUAUCUAAAAAUAAUUAAUAUUUUAUACAUUUUUUAAAAUUAAAAGUACUACAUUUGAUCAUUCAAGUAUUAUCUUUUAAUUAUAUGGGUAUUAUUUUUUUAUCAUUCUAGGUACUACUUUUGACCCGUAAAUAUAUGAAACUUGAAUUAUUUUUAUAUAACUACGUGAAAAACACAUUUUCUUCUAUUUGAGUAGUAUAAUUUAAAAAAGAAAAAUAUGUUUUGGAAUAUAUUUAAAAAAAAAUAAAAGAAAAAUAAACCCUUUAAAAAUAAUUAAAAUUUCAUGAACUUUGAAAUAAAAGGUAUUACCAAUUCAAAUCAAAAUUUAUAUAUGUAUAAUUUAUCAUUAAAAUGUAGUAUCAAGGUGUUGUCAUUUACUUGAAAAUACAUAAAAUUUUAAUUAUUUUAAGUUGGAUAUGUUAAGUUUUAAUUUUACAAAUACUCGUUUUAUUUAUUUUAUUUUUUAAAGUGUGGAUCAAAACAAAAAAAAAUUAAGUAUAAAGUUAAUGUUUUUAAUUGUGGUUUAGACAUCGGACCAGACCAAUCGGUCACAGUUCCGGUCCGAUCUGACGAAUUUGACCGAAAAGUGAUCAAACCAGAAUCGAAUUUGUUGAAUUGACGGUCUAACUGACAAAUCGAUCAAUCCCCUUCGAAAUCGUCGCCCACUGGAGUGUCUUCCCGCUGGCACCCCCCUCUCUUCUCCCUAAACACAGUCCCCCUGCGCGCUUGCACCCCUUCCAGUCACCUUAUCUUCCGGCCACCUUCCAUUUUUGUUUUCUAAAAUUUAAUUUUUUAUGUUUUAUAUUUAAACAUCUUAAUAUUUAAUUUCUUAAACUUGUGUUAAUUAUAAUUGUAAUGAUAUGUUUAACAUUUAUUUUUUUCAUUUUUGUUUUAUUUUUUGCACAUUGAAAUUUUAAUUUAUUGAAAUUAUUAAAAUUAUUGAGUUGAUUGAUAUCUAUGUACAAAACUUUAUGAAAAAAAUUCAACAAACAGUAUAGAUAUUGUCAAAAUUUAGAGAAUUUAUUAUUUUUAUUUAUUAAUUUUUUUAAUUCUAAUAAUAUAUAAAAUAUAUAUUUAUGAUGUUACUAAUUCAAUCCAAUCAGUGAACGUGAAUCGAUAACUUUUUCAAUUCAAUAAUCGAUCUGUUUUUAAAAACAUUGUUUUUAAUAGUUGACUUAUCAAUUAGCAUGAAUAAAAAAAUAAUUAUUUAUUUUCAAAUUCCAAUUUGAUGUUACUUAAUCCAAGUCCAUUUAAUAGUUGGUCUACGAUGAGCAAUAAAUACUUGAAAUUGGUUGCAUUUUAGUUGUAUAUACUAAGAAAGGAGGCUUUGUAACGGUUAACUAAUUCAACACACGUGCCUCUUUUUGGGAAUUCAAUACAUGGCAUUGCCCAUAUACGCUGUCAUGAUGUGCCCCUCUCUUGGUUGUCCAUCUUUCUCUCUUCUGGUCCAUGGCAGAAAAAAGUUCCUUACACAAAUAAUUUUAUUUUUAAAUAUGUGGUCCACAUUUUAAUACUAUUUUAAAUUUAUUUCACUUAUUUUAAUAUUUUUAAAAUACUUUUAUGGGUAAGUUUUUAAUUAAUUAUAAUUAUAAUAAAAUCAAAUAUAAGAAAAUAAUUUUUUAAAUAUUUUUUUUCUUUAAUACUUUUCUAAAACCAAACUGAUGUUAAGAUUGAAAUAGACAACAUAUAUUAGUUGGUGAUAAUGUAAAGAGAUAAGAAUGACAAUUGAUUAUGUAUUUUGGAUGCCAACUUUGUCAUCAACUAUAUAUAAUAUAAAAUAAAAAAGUCUUUUAAUUGACUUUUUUUUUCAACUUUUUUAAUGUAUAAAAAAAUAUUAUUUCUAUGUAUAAAUAUUUAUAAAUUUUUAAUAAAAAUUAAAAUUUUAAAAGUAAAAAAUAUGAAAAGAAUGAAAAAAAAAUAAUAAAAUAAUAAAAUUUUGAAUGGGAAUGAGUAGGUCCAAUUCUAAUGUUUUGGAUGAACAAUUAAUGGGAACCAAAAAAUAAAAUAUAGGCAGUCGACCUGCCUCCUCCUUUCAGAAGGUCAAAACUUUUUCCUCUAAUUCAAACUUUUUGGCAGCAGACUAAUGAAUCAUCCUACCUAUUUAGCUUAUUGUGCAACUUUCAACAAAAACGGUUUGUCAAAGGACUUCUCUUCAACCAAUUUUUCCUUUUUCCUUCUUAUUUAUUUAUUUUUUAUAUAUUUUUAUAUUUUUAUUCAACUUAUUCAAAUAAGUUUAAAGUAAUAAAAAUAAUCAUCACCAAAGAAUUUGGACCACCAAAAAGUAAAAAUCCCCAAGAAAUUUACAGUAUCUUUAAAAAGUUUAUGACAACAAUGGGUAAUAUAAAGUUGAAUUAGUAGAUUCUUCAAAUUGAUUUUUUAAACCCACACAUAAAAGAUUUUUAUUAAUUAUUCAAAAGUAAAACCUCAUAGCAUCAAUACCCAUGAAAAUAAUUAAAUUAUAUAAUAAAUAUAUAAAAUUAAUAAUUUUUAAUACCAAAUAAAUGUUCAUUAAUUUAAAAACUUUAAUAUUUGAACUUCUUUUAUACAUCAAAUGUGAGCCUUUAAUAUGGCUUCAGGCUUUUAGCUUUAUUAAUUCGAUUAAUUCUAGUAAUUUGUUUUAAAGUAAAAAAUUGUAGGUUUAAAAAUAAAUACAAAAAGCUUUGAUCUUGUUUAGUUAUUAUUUUUAAAAAUAAUUUUAAAAAAUAGUUAUUGAUGAUAGUUUUUAAAAGCAGUUCUUAUAUGUUUUGUAGAACCAAAAUCCAUUUGAAAGCGUAAAAUAUUUUUAAUACAUUUUAAAAAUAAAUUUUAUAUUUAAUAUUUUAAAAACAUGUACAUAUGUUCUUUUGAAAAAAAAAAAUGUCACCAAAAAUAUAAUGUCGGCAUAUGGCUGAAUUUGAUAAUUUUAAUUAUGUGCUUCAAAGUCAAAAGUUAUAGCUUUAGAAAUAAAACUUUUUGCAAAUUUUUUAAUAAGUUUUUGACCCACAAUUAAUAAUUUAAUACAUCACAUAACUUCUUUAUAUCUUCAUAGUAUUCGCUUUUGCAUAUAAUGACAAAGAAAAUAUUCAUUAUGUUUCUUCUCUUUCAUUGGUAGUUGUGCAUCCUAUUUUAAAUUUUCAAAUAUUUUUCAUAACCUUUUUAUUUUAUUUUUAAUUUUUUUCUUUAUUUUUUUAUUAUUGUCAAUAUUAUACUUGAGAUUACCUUUGAUUUAGAAAAAAAAAAACUUAUAUAGUUGUGAUUAUUAUGUUUUUUUAUAUUUAAUUUUUAAUAAAAAUUAAAUAUAUAUUAUUUAUAAUUCCUUUUUAAAGUUGCCAACUUUCCCGCCACAUAUGUGAGGAUUUAAGCAGAAAGUUGAAAAAAAGAAAAGAAAAAAAAUCUAAAAUGGCCUCCUCUAAGUCCUCCUCUCUUAACUUCUUGAAGUAGGAUUUGAAAGUGACUAUAUUUUAUGUAAGAUUGACUCCAGUACACUAACGUGGCAGUUGAAUGAUUUUUGCUAUAUAUAGAUAUUUAUUGUCAAAUUGCACACGGAACAAAGGAGUCGUGUCUCUCUUUCUUUCAUACUUUUCUCUCAAACCAAGCAAAGACAUUGCAAUUAUCAUGACCGCCAUUCCCGUUGCAUCCAUUAGCUAACCAUAAAUGAAUAUAAAACCCAUAUGGGCUCAAGAUUCUUAAACUUCCCAUGUCUCGUGGAUUAAAAAUUAUUGAAGACAACCCCACAUGAUUGUUGUCUAAAAAGGGCCUAAAGGACAAGAACAUGGUGAAUGUGAAAAUUUGAAGCCCUGAAAAGAGUGGAAAACGGAUCGAUGGGGAAGGCGUCUUGAUAUGUGGCAAUUAUCAAAAGGGGUAGUUAUGACAUUGAGAUAUAUAAGCACUAGUCACAUUAAUGGUAGCUGUACAGUACACGCUUUCUUACAGGUUAGUAACUGGGAUCUCUGCAACCCGAUCAGCUUCGGAACCCAACAUCAAUGUUGGAAAAAGAAAAGGAAAUCCAAAAACAAAUCUCACAAACAAAGUGGAAAAUUUACCAUAUUAAUUCUUUUACCUGAUGAUGAUGAUGAUGAUGAUGGUUCUGGCAGUUCUGCUUCUCCACCUUUCUGGCUUUGAUUAUGUGUAGCUCCAUAGACUAUCACUGUCUGAAUUCUCCGGGGAAUCGUCGGAGGGUUGGGACUUGAGUCUAGGCGGGCUAACCAGCAUUCCCUCGGCCAUGUCCACCAAUAGAUUAGGCAUGUUCAGAAGCUCCUCUUCGUCAAUGAAUUGAUCCUCCCCCGCUGCCAAGCUACUGGAUUCUGUUGUCUCCUCCUUUUUAGGUUGGGUGGUGUUUGGGCUCUCCGAACUCUCGGGCUUUGCUUGCUGAGCCUCAGCGGCCCUCGCUGCCGCCGCGCGUAUAUCGCUUGCGGAGGUGGACUUUGGGAUAGGGUAUGACAGAACGGAGUUGGGAAAAUUCAAGGUGGCAUCAGUGCCUUUUAAGGCCAGCGCUGCUACAUCAUAGGCGGUAGCCGCCAUUUCAGGCGUCGGGUACGUGCCGAGCCAUAUUCGAGUAGUUUUGCGCGGCUCUCGAAUCUCCGAUACCCAUUUAUUACCUCGACACCGGAUUCCCCUAUAAAAAGGGUGCCUCCCGGCGGUUUGACCAGAAAAGGGAGUCGGAGAGGGAAGAUUUUUUGGUGAGGGAUGAGCAGAUGUGGGCGUUGAGGAGGAAUGUGAAGGAG